rnacentral:lncRNA from 1 species
UGCAACAUCGUUUGGGCUGUUUCCAAUAUGCUUCUAGUUGUUGGGCCUUUGGCCUUUAUGCAUCUUGACUACCUUGAAUCCCUUCCCCGAUGGUACCCUUAGUAUAGGAACCCGUCAGUAGCCCCGAGACUUCUCCCGGCCAUGAGGUUGGGGGAGGGCCCACUUAUUCUCCCUGUGCGUCGUUUGAUAGUUGAGAUGUCAGGUGGGUUCGCGCGAGCGGACCCACUGGGUCUAGCCCCCGAGCUUUUGAGGGAUUCAGAGAUUCGUUCAGAAGGUUAUUGGUGCAUGUGCUGCUCUUCUCUUGCUGUUGUUAGGGGCCGCUAGGAGACCCUUCCUUAGCUUUUGGUCUUUCCACGGUCAUCUGCCGGUGCGUCGUUAGGUCCGGUCUGCCUGAUGCCUCGCG